GUCGAACGGACGUUCAGGGCUUGCUCUGAACGUUAGUGGCGGACGGCUGAGUAACGCGUAGGUGACCUGCCCCGAAGUGGGGAAUAACUGCCCGAAAGGGUGGCUAAUACCGCAUGUGGUGGAGCGUUCAUUCGCUCCAGUAAAGCCGCAAGGCGCUUCGGGAGGGGCCUGCGUCCGAUUAGCUCGUUGGUGGGGUAACGGCUCACCAAGGCGACGAUCGGUAGGUGGUCUGAGAGGACGAUCACCCAGACUGGGACUGAGACACGGCCAAGACUCCUACGGGAGGCAGCAGUCGGGAAUUUUGCGCAAUGGACGAAAGUCUGACGCAGCAACGCCGCGUGAGGGAUGACGGCCUUCGGGUUGUAAACCUCUUUUAUCAGGGAAGAUCAUGACGGUACCUGAUGAAUAAGUCACGGCUAACUACGUGCCAGCAGCCGCGGUAAUACGUAGGUGACAAGCGUUGUCCGGAUUUACUGGGCGUAAAGAGCGCGCAGGCGGUCGAUCAAGUCGAGUGUGAAAGCCCCCGGCUCAACUGGGGAGGGUCAUUCGAAACUGGUCGACUCGAAGGCAGGAGAGGGUAGUGGAAUUCCCGGUGUAGUGGUGAAAUGCGUAGAUAUCGGGAGGAACACCAGUGGCGAAGGCGACUACCUGGCCUGUUCUUGACGCUGAGGCGCGAAAGCUAGGGGAGCAAACGGGAUUA
rnacentral:rRNA from 1 species